rnacentral:rRNA from 1 species
UACAGAGGUGGCAAGCGUUGUUCGGAAUUACUGGGCGUAAAGGGCGCGUAGGCGGUUCGUUAAGUCCUGUGUGAAAUCCCCCGGCUCAACUGGGGAACUGCACAGGAAACUAGCGGGCUUGAGUUCGGGAGAGGGAAGCGGAAUUCCGGGUGUAGCGGUGAAAUGCGGUAGAUAUCCGGAGGAACACCGGUGGCGAAGGCGGCUUGCCUGGACCGACACUGACGCUGAGGCGCGAAAGCUAGGGGAGCAAACGGG